GUUAAACACCAGUUCCCAUACAAUCACUGAAGUUAAGCAACAUUGAGCAUGGUUAAUACCUAGAUGAGUGACUGCUUAGGAAUACCAGGUGCUGUAGG